AAAACUUCCAAGAAGGUGGAUCUGUUCUAUAAGCUCGUACCUCUAUAACCUUAGGUUCUAAGGAGACAGGAAACCAAGUUUGGUGGAUGAACUAUGACCAUGCGCUCAGAGCGUAAUUAACAGCUUUCGUUGAUCUAGAUCAUUUGGUGCAGUAGAGGAUCGGUUCUUAGUACAUCUGUACUAGGGAUGACCGCACGUGACAGACC